GGAGGAGUACCCAAGCGGUCGUACGGGAACCGUCUCGAAAACGGUUUAGGUCGUAAGGCCUACGCGAGUUCGAAUCUCGCCUCCUCCG
rfam:Candidatus Gottesmanbacteria bacterium RIFCSPLOWO2_01_FTLL_39_12b rifcsplowo2_01_scaffold_976, whole genome shotgun sequence.